AUCGAACGCUGGCGGCGUGCUUUACACAUGCAAGUCGAACGGUAACAGGCCUUCGGGUGCUGACGAGUGGCGAACGGGUGAGUAAUGCAUCGGAACGUUCCCAGAGGUUGGGGAUAACGCAGCGGAAGCUGUGCUAAUACCGCAUGUGAUCUGAGGAUGAAAUCGGGGGAGCUGGCAGCAAUGUUUGGCCUCGCGCGUUUGGAGCGGCCGAUGUCGGAUUAGUUAGUUGGUGGGGUAAAGGCCUACCAAGCGGGCGAUCUGUAGCUGGUCUGAGAGAACGACCAGCCACACUGGGACUGAGACGCGGCCCAGACUCCUACGGGAGGCACCAGUGGGGAAUUUUGGACAAUGGGCGCAAGCCUGAUCCAGCAAUGCCGCGUGCGGGAAGAAGGCCUUCGGGUUGUAAACCGCUUUUGUACGGAACGAAAAGGCUCUGGCUAAUACCUGGGGCUGAUGACGGUACCGGAAGAAUAAGCACCGGCUAACUACGUG
rnacentral:rRNA from 1 species